rnacentral:rRNA from 1 species
AUUGAACGCUGGCGGCAGGCCUAACACAUGCAAGUCGAGCGGAUGAGAGGAGCUUGCUCCUCGAUUCAGCGGCGGACGGGUGAGUAAUGCCUAGGAAUCUGCCCAGUAGUGGGGGACAACGUUUCGAAAGGAACGCUAAUACCGCAUACGUCCUACGGGAGAAAGGGGGGGAUCUUCGGACCUCACGCUAUUGGAUGAGCCUAGGUCGGAUUAGCUAGUUGGUAGGGUAAAGGCCUACCAAGGCGACGAUCCGUAACUGGUCUGAGAGGAUGAUCAGUCACACUGGAACUGAGACACGGUCCAGACUCCUACGGGAGGCAGCAGUGGGGAAUAUUGGACAAUGGGCGCAAGCCUGAUCCAGCCAUGCCGCGUGUGUGAAGAAGGCCCUCGGGUCGUAAAGCACUUUAAGUUGGGAGGAAGGGCUUACAGCGAAUACCUGUGAGUUUUGACGUUACCGACAGAAUAAGCACCGGCUAACUUCGUGCCAGCAGCCGCCGCCG